GUGACGACAAACCCCGUCAGCAUGUUAGAUAAAGGAUUUAAGUUAUAUGCUGCAUCAUAUAUACACAACUACGAAGGUAAGAAAACGUAAAUUAACCGACAAAGAAACGUUAGCUAACGUGAAAUGCAAACACUACGUUACUCCGCUAUGUGUUUCAUUUGAUGUCAAUUCUCUACAUUACAUGUUUCCUUAAACGGUGUUUAUAGUUGAGGUUUAACUAAUGUCACUUUUGUUGUUAGACACUUUUAUAAUAGCGUUAGGUAGUUGGCUAACUAAGCAGGUAGUUAACUACCCAAUGCUACUCUUGCUACGUGUAAAGUAUAUACGUUUAAGACGUGUUGACAUGAGUAGUACAGAAAUAAUGCUAAUGGUUCUUGUAUCUUUAUUCAGUGUCCAAAAAACACAGGUUGACAGGGGAGGUCGGUGUGAGAGCCCUGUGCUACAGGUCAACGAGGAAGAGUGAGGCACCACACAGACUAAGUAUUAAGCUUCUGGAUUCAUCGCCAGUGCUCCUGUGUGGCAGGUGCUGUUAUGUGCAAUCACACAGUGGCACUGCUCUUCCAAACAGCACACUACUCACAACUCAGAGUGCCGGUUGUCCCCUGUGCAUAGCUGCACCGAAUCUGAACAGCAAUGGCACAAGCCACGGACAGUGGGUGUGAAGCCAGGACCUAUCAACUCUAUGAUCUUCACUAAGCCGGUACCAAAUAGGAUGGCCCAGACUGGAG
ensembl:lncRNA